rnacentral:tRNA from 1 species
AGGGAUAUUGCCAAGCGGUAAGGCAAUGGAAUUUGACUCCAUGAUUCACAGGUUCGAAUCCUGUUAUCCCUG